rnacentral:rRNA from 1 species
UGAUGUGUGGUAGGAGAGCGUUCCCAGUGCAGUGAAGGGUGAUAGCGAUUGACCCUGGAGCGCUGGGAAGUGAGAAUGCAGACAUGAGUAACGAUAAGACCGGUGAAAUCCCGGUCCGCCGUAAACCCAAGGUUUCCCGGGCAACGUUUUUCGUCCCGGGGUUAGUCGGGACCUAACCCGAGGCCGAUAGGCGUAGGGGAUGGCAAGCAGGUUAAUAUUCCUGCACCCAGUAAGGAGGACGCUUGAGUCAAGGAUACUAGGUUAUUGAAUUCCGAGAUGCGGCUACGGCCAAUUCGCAUAUCCGGCGCUUGAGCCAAGAAAAGCCCUUACAUUAAUGGCCCGUACCGUAAACCGACACAGGUGGGUGGGUAGAGUAUACCAAGGCGCAAGAGUGAAACCUGGUUAAGGAACUCGGCAAAAUGGCUCCGUAACUUCGGGAGAAGGAGUGCCACAUUUGUGGCCGCAGUGAAAUGGCCCAACCGACUGUUUAGCAAAAACACAGCAUUCUGCUAAGGCGUAAGCCGAUGUAUAGGAUGUGACACGUGACCAAUGCCAAAAGAUUACGGUAAGGUGUUAGCCCUCGUGGCGAAGCUCCGAGCCCAAGUCCUGGUGAAUGUCGGCCGUAACUAUAACGGUCCUAAGGUAGCGAAAUUCCUUGUCGGGUAAGUUCCGACCUGCACGAAUCGUGCAACGAGUUGGGCGCUGUCUCAACCAGGAGCUCAGUGAAAUUGUAACGCCGGUGAAGAUGCCGGCUACCCGCAGAAGGACGGAAAGACCCUAUAGACCUUAACUGUACGCUGUUACUGUUUUUUCGAUUUCAAUGCUCAGCAUAAGUGGGAGACUUUGAAGCCAUCCUUUAGGGGAUGGUGGAGUCGCCAGUGAGAUACCACCCUUUGGUGUUGGAAAUUCUAACCCCAUGCCGUCAUCCGGCUGGGGGACCGUGGCAGCCGGUCAGUUUUACUGGGGCGGUAUCCUCCCAAAGAGUAACGGAGGAGCGCGAAGGUGGGCUCAGCACGGUCGGCAACCGUGUUUCGAGUGUAAAGGCACAAGCCCGCCUAACUGUGAGACCGACAAGUCGAGCAGAUACGAAAGUAGGCCUUAGUGAUCCGGCGGUUGAAUGUGGAAUUGCCGUCGCUCAACGGAUAAAAGGUACCUUAGGGAUAACAGGCUGAUUUCGCCCAAGAGUUCAUAUCGACGGCGAAGUUUGGCACCUCGAUGUCGGCUCGUCGCAUCCUGGGGCUGGAGAAGGUCCCAAGGGUCCGGCUGUUCGCCGGUUAAAGCGGCACGCGAGCUGGGUUCAGAACGUCGCGAGACAGUUCGGUCCUCUAUCCUCUGUGGGCGCAGGAAGAUUGCGCGGUUCGUUUCCUAGUACGAGAGGACCGGAAACGACGCACCUCUGGUGUAUCUGUUGUUCUGUCAAGGGCAGUGCAGAGUAGCUACGUGCGGAACGGAUAAGCGCUGAAAGCAUCUAAGCGCCAAGCCAUUCGCAAGAUUAAUCUUCCCUUAAGGAUCGUGGGAGACGACCACGUUGAUAGGCUGUAGGUCGAAGCGUAGCAAUACGUGUAGCCGAGUAGUACUAAUCAUCCGAUAGACUUGAUUUC